UGAUACUAGUGAAACUUGCUUUGUUUUCAUUGACUGAUGUGUCGCGCCAAUUGAAGGGUUGAUGAAAUAAAAAUCACUAAUGCUUUACAAUAUGCAGCUAGUAUUGAGUACGUUAUAAGGUGGAGUACCAAUAUUAGUCUUUGGUCAAACUGGGGUUGCAUCAGCUGAUUCUCCAAAUGAGGCCCUUCAUUUUAAUUGCAAACCUAAUAUUGGUGCUGCGCAGCUGACCGAAGAUAAAUUCAAGGUAGAUAUUUUCUCUAACUUAUAUUAUGGCUUU